rnacentral:lncRNA from 1 species
UUACGAAUCAAGAAAAGUUUCUGAACUUUUUUACAGCUGCUGUGUUGAAUCGAUUUGCUUAAGUUGCUCUUUUCUCAGUUUUCAGCAGUUGGGUCGAUUGUUAUAUACACACAUAUAUAUAUAUAUAUAGAGAGAGAGAGAGAGAGAGAUGAAGAAGCGCGUUCAUUUGACAGUUUCGUACAUUGAACUGAGUCAAAUGAAGUAUUGGUUAAAUUUCGGUUUUAAUCCCUUUACUAUGUUUAAAUCUGGU